GUUAAAAAAACAUUUCUUGAGAGAAGCUUUAUAAGUUUUUAUUUGUUUUCUCCUAUUCAAUGUUAUGCCUUUGGAUGUUUCAAAUGUGUAAGCAUGGUUCUAAAUGGAGUUAAAUACUAUGUGCUUGCUGCUUGCUUUUUGCAUUGUGUUAAUAUUUUGCUUUAUAUGAUACUCAACCCAACUGAGUCUUAAUUCCCAAUAAGGAUCCUUUUCCUUUUGCUAUAUAUAUAUUAUAACAGAUGAAUUGGUUGAAUGUGAGACAAUGAUUUCACAAUUGAAUAACGUAAGAUAUCCCUUUUUGCUUCUAGACAGUGUUUGAUCCUUGUAACAUUGCACCGAUUGUUGGACGGUUUGUGUCUCUUUAACUCUCCAUUUAGCUCUUAUAUCAAUUAUGUAUUAAAUGACUCUAGAUCACCUUGCUGCAUUUCUUCCCUAAACUGAUAAGAACCCGCCUUCUUUGAAAAUAUUUUCUUCCAAUAGGAGAGCCUUAAAUUGCAUUUUAUUGCCCUUUUUGUUCUUGGUUAUAAUUAAUACACUAAUUGUGGCUAGGAGUGAGAAUCCUACAUCAACAUGUAAGCAAGCUAGUUCAUCCUGGAUAUUUGAGCUUUUUUUUUUCUUUUGAUUUUGUUGUUCAGCUUUUUGUUUUUGCAUUCUGUCUCUUGAUAGGCUGUUGCUAACAUUAUCUGCA
rnacentral:misc_RNA from 1 species